rnacentral:rRNA from 1 species
UACGGAGGGUGCGAGCGUUGUCCGGAAUCAUUGGGCGUAAAGGGCGCGUAGGUGGCGGGACAAGCGUGCGGUGAAAGCUCGGGGCUCAACCCCGAGUCGGCCGUGCGAACUGUUUUGCUUGAGCACUGUAGAGGCAGGCGGAAUUCCUGGUGUAGCGGUGGAAUGCGCAGAUAUCAGGAGGAACACCUAUAGCGAAGGCAGCUUGCUGGGACGUUACUGACGCUAAGGCGCGAAAGCGUGGGGAGCGAACAGG